AAACGGUCUUGUUUCCUAUGGUCCAGAGUAAAGCAGAUGCCUGGGUGAGGCCGUGGUGCCUCUCGACAUCCACACCCCAAAGCGUGCAGAGCCGGAACCAGGUGGUGGGGUCGGUGCUAGUGGAUUUGCAAGCAGGGCAGACCUAAGGAAGAUGCUUCUUCAUUUCCCAGGACAGAGUGGGUGGGGCCCACAGAGAGCGGUCAAGGACUCCAGGCAGGGCCCGAAGUUCCCCAUGUUCACAUGGGGAGGAAGUCCCUGGGCAAAGUAAAGCAGGUUCUCUGGGUUGGUGAGGGGCGGUCUGCAGCUGCUGAGGGCUGCAGACAUCUGGGACCCGAGGCGCCUGCUGUGGCGGGGAUUGGUGGGGACAUUCUGAGAUGAGUGACUUGAUCCUGGGCCCUAGGCCCUGGGCCCACCGAGGGGGCUACAGGACAGGGAAGGUGGGCAGCACCAGGAGGGUCCCACAGUCCAGGCAGGGGCCCUCACACCAGUGCAGAGUACAGUGUGGCCGCUGCAGCAGAGACAGUGCCAGCUGACGACGCCCCAUCCCUCGACUUCCCUUUUGACUCUGGAGAAACAACCACAGGCACUGGCUCCAUGCCCACUGGGGGCCACAUUUACAGUAACUGGGGGCAUGCCGGAAGGGCCCAAUGGGUGUCACCUCUGAGGUCCAGGGAGAGAGGAGAGUAGGGUUACAGGGGCCCCGGGAGCUGGCCUCACGACCUCUC
rnacentral:lncRNA from 1 species